rnacentral:pre_miRNA from 2 species
CACGUGUCACGUUCUAAUUGAACGUUGAUUCUAUAGACUAUGAAAAUGUAUUGUUGUUGUCAACGUCCAAUCAGAACGUGACAUGUG